UACGGGGGGGGCAAGCGUUGUUCGGAAUUACUGGGCGUAAAGGGCGCGUAGGCGGUGCUCUAAGUUAGAUGUGAAAACUCUGGGCUCAACCCAGAGCCUGCAUCUAAAACUGGAGUGCUAGAGUUCUGGAGGGGGUAGCGGAAUUCCUGGUGUAGCGGUGAAAUGCGUAGAUAUCAGGAGGAACACCGGUGGCGAAGGCGGCUCUCUGGGCCUGACCUGACGCUGAGGAGCGAAAGCGUGGGGAGCGAACAGG
rnacentral:rRNA from 1 species